rnacentral:rRNA from 1 species
GACGUAGGGCGCGAGCGUUGUCCGGAUUUAUUGGGCGUAAAGAGCUCGUAGGCGGCUUGUCGCGUCGACCGUGAAAACUUGGGGCUCAACCCCAAGCCUGCGGUCGAUACGGGCAGGCUAGAGUUCGGUAGGGGAGACUGGAAUUCCUGGUGUAGCGGUGAAAUGCGCAGAUAUCAGGAAGAACACCCGUGGCGAAGGCGGUUCUCUGGAACGCAACUGACGCUGAGACGCGAAAGCGUGGGGAGCAAACAGG